rnacentral:rRNA from 1 species
GUGAAAUUGUUUAAAGGGAAACGCUUGAAACCAGUAUUGUGAUGCGCAACUUAGUCGUUCAUUAGAACGGUGCACUUUGCGUAUCGCGGGUCAGCAUCAGUUUCGUUCGGAGUAAAAAACCAGUGGAAUGUGACCUCUCUUUUGAGGUGUUAUAGCCUCUGGUCAUGCUCUGGGUGGGACUGAGGUCUGCAGCCUUGCUUUUGGGACGUUUGCAGCCCUCUGACGUUGUGUGCUGGACAGCUUGCUGAUCAUCACUCAACUUAGGAGGCCCUGUAGGCUUACACAACUGGGCUUAGGAUGCUGACGAAAUGGUUUUAAACGACCCGUCUUGAAACACGGACCAAGGAGUCCAACAAUCCUGCGAGUGUUUGGGUGGCAAACCCGAGCGCGUAAUGAAAGUGAAUGUAGGAGGGAUCCGCAAGGAGCACCUUCGACCGGUCUGGAUUUUUUUGAAAGAUCUGAGUAAGAGCAUGAUUGUUGGGACCCGAAAGAUGGUGAACUAUGCCUGAAUAGGGUGAAGCCAGAGGAAACUCUGGUGGAGGCUCGUAGCGGUUCUGACGUGCAAAUCGAUCGUCAAAUUUGGGUAUAGGGGCGAAAGACUAAUCGAACCAUCUAG